rnacentral:rRNA from 1 species
UUUAAAGUCUGACCUGCCCACUGAAUUGAAAAAAUUUGAAGGGCCGCGGUAUUUUGACCGUGCAAAGGUAGCAUAAUCAUUAGUCUUUUAAUUGAAGGCUGGAAUGAAUGGUUGGACGAGGUAUUGACUGUCUCAAUGUAAAUGACAAUAGAAUUUAUCUUUUAAGUCAAAAGACUUAAAUAGUAUUAGAGGACGAGAAGACCCUAUAGAGCUUUAUAUUUAAAGAUUAUUAUUUAUUUAGAAGUAUUUUUAUAAUAGUGAUAUAAAUAUUUUGUUGGGGUGACAGGAAGAUACAAUAAACUCUUUUUAGUUUAAUUACAUUUAUUUAUGAAUUGAUGAUCCAUUAUUAGUGAUUACAAGACUAAGUUACCUUAGGGAUAACAGCGUAAUCUUUUUCGAGAGUUCUUAU